GAUGGACCCGUCCUCCGGUGCCUACUGAGCUGAUAUCAGUUCUGAUUUUACAUACUGGCUCAGUUCAGCAGGAACAGGAGUCGAGCCC
rnacentral:miRNA from 1 species